UCUCUUCUAAUUUUUCAUUUUAGAUGAAAAAUUUAAAAAAUAUUUUUUUAAUGUAAGUAGAAGUACUGUUUGUAAUCAUUUAUGGUAAUUGCUAAUUGCGUUGUGUUUUGAGUUCAAGUUUUACGCAGAAUGCAAAACCCUUUUGUUGAUUUGAACUAUGAACGGAAACCAGCCGGGAAUGAGAUAUGUUUCAUGAUUUCAUAAUUUUCAUCCGUCCUUCGUCGAGUCGAGUCGCGAAUGUAGGUAUAUAGUUGAUAUUAUUUUAUUCGGCAGAUGGUCCGCGGCUGACCACACAGUUCCAAUCGCCAAUCGUGUCUCCCAACUCUCGAAUGAACAUUUAUAUUUCACAUUUCACACAACGUUAUGUUUCAUGUUUUCUCGUAUCAUGUCGCUCGCCACCGACGGUUAUGCAGUUGGAAUUUCUCAUUAUCAGAUGGUUUGCUGAGAACAGUGAACAUGGACGUUUUAAGAUUGUACGAAAAUUCAUUCUGCAACGAUGAAAGUUUGAUUGUUCUGGUUCAAAUGUUUGGAUACUCGGUUAGGUAAUUAGAUCCGUGUUAAUGUUUAGAACUAUUUCCAGGUAAUUUCUCAAGAAAAAGGCGAGUAGGCGUUUCUGCGAACCGUUCUUGACCCGACCUGAUUCGAUUCGAUUCGGAAGAGGAGGAAAAACAAAUACGCGUUAACAUCUUUAAAACUACAAUGUCCGACGUCUUCUACCAAAAUUCCAUUUUCCAAGAUUCUGCAAAAUUGUAUUGUACGGAACAUUCGAAGACGACGAGACGACGACAAUCACGAACUACUCGUAUCUUAUUUCCUUUAUAUCAUUCUCUUGCCCGUUUUGUUUUCAAGUGGACGGAGAACUGAUAUGGGGAGUGAAGAUAUUGCAAAACAGUGACGGUCAUACGCGUAGUUCGGGUGUACAAUUGUACAUAAAUAAUACGUAUACGGUAUACCUAUGAUCUAAGCUGUACAUUAGAAAAUCUAACCUAGGUGGUGUGGUAGGAUAUCUUCUUAAUUUCUCGCGUUAUAUGUACGAGUAUUUUCAGUAUUCCAGUUCAUCGAUCCGUCGAUGCCAUGUGCCAUAUGCCUAUUGUUUAUUACCCACUUGUAAUUUUGAAUUACGUAAUUUAUGUACCUACCUAUAUGUAAUUAUGUACAUUACAUACGUAUUAUGUAGAAUAGUAAAAAUGUAUAGGCACUCGA